CAGGACUACGGAUGCUCAAAAGGAUCAAAUUACAUACGCUAAUGACAAAAACUAAAGUUAACGUUGUCAUAUGACAUUCUCGUGCUCAACGCUACAGUUUUGGAACAUCAUGGUUGUGGGGGAGAUAUCUGCCAUCACAGAAAGGGAACAGGUGUAAUAGCAGGACCAGUUUGGCGACUUGUUCUUGAACUAAACAGAAGCAGACAGGUGAAUGCAUGGAAUGUCUCUCCCCACCUUACCCCUUGUGCCCAUGUCACUUGUAGUACAGUCUCUGAGGUGAGUAAGAAUCUGAAAUGCCUAUAUUUGCUUAAAGUUCCUUCCUCCAAGAUAUGUGACAUGGGGUGCAGUGUUACACAACAGCAACCAUUCAUAGAACCACCAUUUACAUGUAAAUUGUAGCCGUGUAAAAUUAAGACUUAUUUUUACACUGAAGUAUUCUUGGAAUGUACAACGUAAUCUCAAAGAUGUGUAAUUGAUUGCGGUAUGUGCGGAAUGUCAGCCAUGAAAGGCAUAUGCAUGCCGUCAUGAAACAGAUUAUAAUGUGGAGGAUUAAAAUUAAUGGAUUUUUAGUCAUUCCAUCAGCUCCACUGUCAUGCACCUGUACAUGACAGUCAUCCUGCGUCAUGGAGGGUAUUACAUGAAAAGGUUAUGAAGAGAGCAGUUGCUGUUGUCUCAAUAAUCAGUCAAACAAUGACAGUGGAGCUGCUGCUUUAAAAAAGUAGAGGAUUUUGAACCAGGCUGCCUGUGUUCAAGGCUCAGCCCCAAGGUAGCAUCGAGAGGAUUUACUUGCACACAGUGUGUGACAGUCACUGCUCCAAGUACUUCUUCUUUCUCCCUCUUAAUCCACUGUUGACUUUAACACUAGUCAUCCUCAUUGGUCAGCAGUAAGGAGAACUAGCGGAUACUCUAUUUUCAUCCCAUUGGAAUUUGCUUCAUUGAAGGCAAACCUGGACCUAGCUCUUCUACCACAGGUGAUGUUAACCUAGAGCAACCUCUUUGCCAACAAAAAGUGAGCAGCCAGGAUAUCUUUUAAUGCAGUUUUUAAUGCAUUUAAUAUCUACAGCACAGGCCAGAUGGUGAAUUGUGAAUUCUUCUAACUAAUCCCUUUGGGUAAAUCUGCAUAGCCACCAUGUUCCGGGAUUUGACAAGAAACAACAACCCUGGGUGGUUAAGAGAGAACCGUUUGAUUCCCUGGUAGUAUCACUGCACAUAUCAUGCUAAUCAACUGGAACUAGGAUUUAUCUGUCGUUAAUCUGUAAUUGAGAAUCAGUGGUUUAAACAGGAACAACACUAUUGAGGUAUAUAAUUUCUCUUUUACUUCUGGUUUUAAAUUCUACAUGGGUGUGGUCUUGUUUCAUACCUCUGACAGCAUGUACAACUAUUAAAUUAAUACAAGAUGGGUAUAAUUUUCCCUUUGUCUUUGUUUUGCACCCGUAUUUCUUUUCGGAUGUAUCGGUGGACCUGGCUGUCAUCUGGGAUCAUGUUCAUCUUCUGCUGUGUGACUGGGGACCAUGACGACAGAGGUGGGAUCUGAGACGGAGGUGAGGAAAGAGCCGGAGAAGGCAGAGGAGCAGCCUGCAGCACCUGAAUCAGAACCAGCAGCCACCAACCAGACAGACGAGGCCAAGGCCGCAGAGCAGUCCGCCAACGACCACCCCGCUCCGGCCACCGACUCAGCCGAGGCCCCCGCAGAGGCCAAGGAGAAGCAGGAGGAGGCCCAGCCAGCUGACAACGCCACACCACAGGAGGGCGAGGACACCCCAGCCUCACCACCAGCCUCUGAGAAGAAAGGGAUCUCCAGGUUCCUCCCUCCAUGGCUUAAGAAGCAGAAGUCUCAGAGCCAGGUGGGACCCAAAGAGAGCCAGGCUGCACCCAAGGAGGAGGCAGGCGUUGCCUCCGUGAAGGAGGAGGACGGUGAGAAGGGGGAGCAGGCCGAGGCAGAGCAGACGUCAUCGCCCACAGCAGCCCAACCACAGGUGGAAGAAGAGAAAAUUAACGGAGAGCCGAAACCAGAACAGAAAGAGGAAGUGAAAUCGGAGGAAAAAGAGGAGGAGAAUCAUUCCACUGGCAGUGCAGACACUCAGCCUGCUAAGGAGGAGAAAGCAGCAGAGGAAUCUCAGGAGAAGAGUGCAGCAGAAGAGGAGAACAAGGAGGCAGAGGAAGGAGGAGAGGAGAAGAAAGACGAGGAAGAGAGCCAGAAGCCUGAGGGUGGACAUUCUUUUAUCAAGUCACCACUGAAACUGACCAAGAAGGUGAAGAUGGUGAUGUGUCACGUGACCAUGCUUGAUGGAAGCCAGUUCCCCUGUGAGGUGGAGAAACGGGCGAAAGGCCAGUACCUGUUCUUUAAAGUGUAUGAAGCCCUGAACCUACUGGAGAAGGACUACUUUGGGUUGAGUUACAAAGACAACGCUGACCAGACGUGCUGGUUGGACCCUACAAAGGAGAUCAAACGUCAGAUCCGCAAUGCCACCUGGCAGUUUGCGUUCAAUGUCAAGUUCUACCCCCCUGAUCCAUCCCAGCUGACCGAGGAUAUUACCAGAUAUCUCCUGUGCCUUCAGCUCCGACAGGACAUAGUGUCGGGGCGUCUGCCCUGCUCCUUCGUCACCCACUCCCUGCUGGGUUCCUACGCCCUGCAGGCCGAGCUGGGAGACCAUGACUCCGGCGAGCACCGCCUCGACUACAUCAGUGACUUCCAGUUCGCCCCCUCACAGACCAAGGAGAUGGAGGAGAAGGUGGUGGAGCUCCACAAAACUCACAGAGGGAUGACUCCUGCUCAAGCAGAUGCCCAGUUCUUAGAAAACGCGAAGAAGUUGUCGAUGUACGGUGUGGAUCUCCACCACGCCAAGGACUCUGAGGGAGUGGACAUCAUGUUGGGAGUGUGUGCCAACGGCUUGCUGAUCUACAAAGACCGACUCCGGAUAAACCGCUUUGCCUGGCCCAAAAUCCUCAAGAUUUCCUACAAACGCAGCAACUUCUAUAUCAAAAUCAGGCCGGGAGAGACAGAGCAGUUUGAGAGCUCUGUGGGCUUCAAGCUGCCCAACCACCGCGCUGCCAAGAGGGUCUGGAAGGUCUGUGUGGAGAAUCACACCUUCUUCAGGUUGAUGACUCCAGAAGCACCCAUUAAAGCCAAGUUUCUCACGCUGGGCUCCAAGUUCCGAUACAGUGGGCGGACCCAGGCCCAGACACGACAGGCCAGCACCCUCAUCGACAGGCCGGCACCCUACUUCGAGCGCACCUCCAGCAAGCGUAUCUCCCGAAGCCUGGAUGGAGCUCCAAUGAUUAACGUGACCGAGGCCCAGGAGUCAGCCCCCACCUCUGGGGAGAACGGCAGGGAGCCUGGCCUGGAACUCUCCUCUGACUCCAAGGUAGAGGAGGAGCCUAGCGAAGGGGAGGCGGCCACACCUACUGAGGGCACUGAGAUGAAAGGAGAUGAGCCAGACUCCUCCCAACAGAGCGGAAGGUUGAGAGUGCAGGGGGAAAAUAUAUAUGUCAGACAUAGCAAUUUAAUGUUGGAGGACCUGGAUAAGACUCAGGAGGAUGUUUUGAAACAUCAGGCUAGCAUUAGCGAGUUAAAGCGCAGUUUUAUGGAGGCCACCCCUGAGCCGCGUCCCAGUCAGUGGGAAAAGCGCCUCACAGCCAGCCCGGCUACCAGCCUGCGUCUGCAGGCCCAAGGGAGCUUGGAAGAGGAAAUUACCUCCAUUUUAUUCAGUAAAUUUGCCUGCGAGUCUGGUCUGGUUGAUCCCGGCUGCACUACCACUAGGCGAGCAGCAGAUGGCGCUGUAGUCACUGCGUCUGGCCCUCUGGCCUCGGCUCUACUCACUACCGAGGUGCUCCUCAGUACAGAUGAAUCAAAGCCAACAAAACAUCAGAGAUGCCCCCCAUCCAGAACCCAGGAGCCUCCCCCUGACCUCACGGUGGACACGGUCGCCAAGAGCGCAGAUGAUAAACAGAAAUCCGGCGAGGCGGCAUGGCAGGCAGCAGAGGUUGAGAUAGAAGAGACGGUAGUCGUCGAGGAGAUCAGGGUGGCCCCCAAAGGUUCCGUCACCAUAACCACUCCUGAGGUGAUCACCCCCGUCGCAGUGGAGUCUGAGGUCGAGAAGCCCAAGGACGAAGUUAUGGAAGAGCAGAAGAGGCCUGUGAGCGUGUCCUCGGACAGUGAGGAAGAGGAGGAGGAGGAGGAGGCGGGGGAGUACCAUCCGCAAGUCACCGUCAGCGCCUCAGUUGACCAGAUCAAAGAAGAGCCCGAGGAAGAAGGGGAGGAGGAGGAACAGCAAGUCAAUGAAGAGCCAGUUGCAGAACCACUCCCAGAGCCAGUGGUCGAGGUAAAGGCCCAGCCUGUCCCUGCAGUAGUGGAAGAAAACUCCGCGACAGAACCACAACUAGCCCCUGUGGCGGAGGAGAGCCCCGAGGACAUCCUGGUUACCCCUGACGAGGCCCCUAACGGGCACGCCGAGUCCCCCGAGGACCAUCAAGGCCCCGUGGCCCUGGAAGAGGAGGAGGAGAAGGAGCCCAGAGUCAACGGGGACGCGUCUCACUCCGAGACAGAGCGCCUCCCCCAGGUUAUUUGUUGCUCUGAGCCACCUGUGGUGAAGACCGAGAUGGUGACCAUCUCAGACACGUUUGCGGCCCAGAAGACCGAGAUUGCCACUAAGGAGGUUCCCAUCGUGCACACCGAGACAAAGACCAUCACGUACGAGGCUGCACAGCUGGACGGCAGUGGAGACGGCGAACCAGGCGUUCUCAUGACGGCCCAAACCAUUACCUCGGAGUCACUGUGCACCACCACCACCACACACAUCACCAAGACAUUAAAAGGCGGCCUCUCAGAAACCAGGAUCGAGAAGCGCAUUGUCAUCACCGGAGACUCGGACAUCGACCACGAUCAGGUGAGCGUCAGUCAGUCACCAAUCAGACACGUCCUCCGGUGGCACCAAUUACACACCACAACAGCUUGUAUUACUGAAGGGAAGAUGUCGGCUUAUGUCAAAAUGUUUCCUACAUUUUAUACUUAUGGAGAUAUGAGAAUGUGCCAUACUACUGACUGAGGUCAAGCGCUCAUAUGUUCAGUGAAGUGGUGUAUCUAAGAGAAUAUAUUAUUGGCCAUUUUAGCAAGAAUGAGAAUUCAAUGUGGUGGCCCAGUAUCUCUGGUGUCUGCUCCUUUAGACUAGAAAUGGCAAUAAGAAGAGGACUUAAGUGUUUUCAAUCAAUGUCUCAGCUGAAUGAGGUGCAUCGAUCCCUGUGAAAAGACCUCGCUCUGAUUUAUAGUGGCAAGGGUCUUUUACCUCCGUAUGAGAGCUCAUCUGGUCAUCAAGCCAAAGAGUACAGCAGACCGAUACACUCCACACUAAAGAACUCGACCAAAAUUCACAACAACAUAUGUUUCCAUAGUAGAAGUUCUUCCCAAACCCCAAAGGCACAAGCAUGGGCAGAUGUCCAAGCCAUGCUUUCCAUUCCUCCCCCCACCCUCCCAUCCUUUGUCUUCAUUUUAUGUUUUGCUGUUUUUUGUUGUUGUUGUCGCUGCUACAUUUCUCAUCUGUAUCCAUAGCGCCUCCAUUUUGUUUGUCUGUUUUUCUGUUCCUUUGUUCUCCUUUAUUUCUGUUAAUGCCAUCGUCUCCCUUUCCUUUUGGGUGUGUUGUUGCCGUGGCAUGUUGCCACCCCGGGUAGGCCUUGGCCCAGGCUAUAAAGGAAGCCAAAGAGCAGCACCCUGACAUGUCAGUGACUCGGGUGGUGGUCCACAAAGAGACAGAGCUGGCAGAGGAGGGCGAGGACUGAGGCGCCAGAGCUGAGAGCCUGUGAAGUUCAUACUUGGAUGUUUGAGAACCUCCUGUCAUCUCCCAAACCGAGAGUCAACCUGGUGGGAAGACUGUCGGACAACCCCGAGGCUGAACUCCUGUGUUUCAUUGCACACGUUCCUUCUUUUUAUUUUUAUCACUCAGAAGAAAACCACUUAGCUAACAUUUGUAGCGUGUUUAAAUUGUUUGUGCUUUUUGCAAAAAUAAGAAAAAAAUUCUGCCAUUAUUAGAACCAAAAAGUGGUCAUUUUUAUUGUUGAGUAGUAUUCACAUUCCUAGUAUGUACAGACGGGUAAUGUUAUGAGAAAGUCAUUUCAAUAUCUAUCUUCCUGUAUUCAUGCAGUUGCAGGUGGACAGGUAUUAUAUUAUAUUAGCUUUGGUCCUGGUCUUCUUCCAUGUUCUCUUAGAGUCAAAUGUUUAUCAGUUUCUGGGGAAAAGGAGGAACAGCAAAUUGUAUUUAAUUGGGUGAGUUUCCAAGGGACUAGCAAAGGACGAAGCGCUGUGUCAUUUUGUACAUUGCACUACAGUGCCAACACAUGUUCUUCUCUAUGCAGUCAUAACAAAAACAUUCCUUUAAAGGGCAGGUGCUUUUCCUGUACCUCCCUCAGAAAAAACACAACAAAAUUUACAUUUUAAACAUGAAACACUUAGGCAGCUUGGAAACUUUUGCUUUUCCAUAACUUUCUGGCAUCAUUAAUCAGAAAUAUAUUUGUAGAAACAUAUAUAUUUUUUUGCUAUCUUUCUUUGUCAAUCAGUAAACUGAUUUAGAUGAUGUGUUUUUUUUGCCCCUUCUUAAAUAUUUUUAAUAUAUUUCAGAGGUUUUUUGACAACUAAAAGAAAUACACAAAAUUGCCACUGUUUUUAUCUUUUACCUGUAGGUAAAGAAGAUGGCUGGCCUUAGCUCUCUCUGCAAUCUGACAAACCUCACCAAUUUGCUAUUUGGGCCCAGUGUAUAGCAAAUAAUCUUAGAUUUUUAGCAGCUUUAAAAUGUUGUCUCCCCCACAGCCACCCCACCCUCUGUGUAACACUGUUGAAAUAAAAUGUUGUUAUUCUCUGA